rnacentral:rRNA from 1 species
AAAGACUUGACGGUACUUCACAACAACCUAGAGGAGCCUGUCUAAUAACCGAUACCCCACGAUUAACCCCACCCACCCUAGCCUAACAGUCUAUAUACCGCCGUCGCCAGCCUACCUUGUGAAAGAAAUAAAGUAGACGCAAUAAACUAUCACUUAACACGACAGGUCGAGGUGUAACUAAUGGGUGGGUAAAAGAUGGACUACAUUUUCUAAUGCAGAACACACGAAUAAACUAUGAAACUAGAAACUGAAGGCGGAUUUAGCAGUAUGAUAAGAAUAGAAUGCCUAACUGAAACCAAUGCAAUGAAGUGCGUACACACCGCCCGUCAUCCCUG